CUCUGCCUUAUGAUCCGACCAGCACAACCCCGACAGUACGGUCCACGUCCGUGUCAACGCGCUCUAAAGACAUUCACAGUGCAACAUCUCUUCAAGAACUCUCCGAGAGGGUCCGCUUUCUCAGAGAUCUGAGUUGUGAUUCCAGCCCACACAGCUCUACCCUGAUGCUCCUGCAGCCAGUCCUCACGCAGACUCUUCGGCAGACUGCACACGGAGCCGCCUCACUGGCCUGCCAGUUGCCGUGGUAACUUGACAUGUCUCCAUUUGCUGUGAUCAAUGGAAAUGUUGCCGUCGCAGGGGAUUGGAGCGCUGCCAGCUCUCUCGGAGUGCAGCAUAACUCUCUCUCCAUCUCCAUCAGAAAUGGUGAAGACACAAAGGAAGAAAUGGAGGCAGGGGGAAGCUGUGGGGUGGAAGAGACACUGCAUCAACAGCACAAAGCAUCCAUUACGGACAACCAUCUACAGAGAUCCAGGAGCAGCUCAGAGCACCGUGAAGAGAGAGCUGACACACACAGAAUUCAACCUGCAGUGACAGCUGCACAUGUACAUUAGA